CCUACGGUGAGCAGCAGUGAGGAAUAUUGGUCAAUGGGCGGACGCCUGAACCAGCCAAGCCGCGUGAGGGAAGAAGGUACAGCGUAUCGUAAACCUCUUUUGUCAGGGAACAAAUGCGGGGACUAGUCCCCGGAUGAGGGUACCUGAAGAAAAAGCGUCGGCUAACUCCGUUCCAGCCUCCGCGGUACUACGGAGGAGGCGAGCGUUAUCCGGAUUUAUUGUGUUUAACGGGUGCGCAGGCGGCCGGUUAAGUCAGCGGUAAAAGCCCGGGGCUCAACCCAGGCGAGCCGUUGAAACUGGCGGGCUGGAGUUGGAGAGAGGGGCGUGGAAUGCGCGGUGUAGCGGUGAAAUGCGUAGAGAUCGCGAAGAAUCCCGAUUGCGAAGGCAGCGCACUGGCUGAAGACUGACGCUGAGGUACGAAAGCGUGGGGAUCGAACAGGAUUAGAUACACGAGUAGUC
rnacentral:rRNA from 1 species